rnacentral:rRNA from 1 species
GUGGGGGAUAUUGCACAAUGGGGGAAACCCUGAUGCAGCAACGCCGCGUGAAGGAAGAAGGUCUUCGGAUUGUAAACUUUUGUCCUUAGUGAAGAUAAUGACGGUAGCUAAGGAGGAAGCUCCGGCUAACUACGUGCCAGCAGCCGCGGUAAUACGUAGGGAGCGAGCGUUGUCCGGAUUUACUGGGUGUAAAGGGUGCGUAGGCGGAAGAGCAAGUCAGUAGUGAAAUCCAUGGGCUUAACCCGUGAACUGCUAUUGAAACUGUUUUUCUUGAGUGAAGUAGAGGUAGGCGGAAUUCCCGGUGUAGCGGUGAAAUGCGUAGAGAUCGGGAGGAACACCAGUGGCGAAGGCGGCCUACUGGGCUUUAACUGACGCUGAGGCACGAAAGCAUGGGUAGCAAACAGGA